rnacentral:rRNA from 1 species
UACGUAGGUGGCAAGCGUUAUCCGGAAUUAUUGGGCGUAAAGCGCGCGCAGGUGGUUUCUUAAGUCUGAUGUGAAAGCCCACGGCUCAACCGUGGAGGGUCAUUGGAAACUGGGAGACUUGAGUGCAGAAGAGGAAAGUGGAAUUCCAUGUGUAGCGGUGAAAUGCGUAGAGACAUGGAGGAACACCAGUGGCGAAGGCGACUUUCUGGUCUGUUCUUGACGCUGAGGCGCGAAAGCUAGGGUAGCAAACGGG